CAGUCGCCACGGUAAUACGUAGGGUGCGAGCGUUAAUCGGAAUUACUGGGCGUAAAGCGUGCGCAGGCGGUUAUAUAAGACAGAUGUGGAAUCCCCGGGCUCAACCUGGGACCUGCAUUUGUGACUGUACAGCUAGAGUACGGUAGAGGGGGAUGGAAUUCCGCGUGUAGCAGUGAGAUGCGUAGAUAUGGGGAGGAACACCGAUGGCGAAGGCAAUCCCCUGGACCUGUACUGACGCUCAUGCACGAAAGCGUGGGGAGCAAACAGGAUUAGAUACCCGCGUAGUCCCUGUCUCUUAUAU
rnacentral:rRNA from 1 species